GAGGGUAUAGCUCAGUGGUAGAGUGUGCAUGCACAAGGACCUGGGUUCAAUCCCCAGUACCUUUA
rnacentral:tRNA from 1 species